GAAACGUCGGUUUGUUUGAAAAAACAAAUAUACGCGAUUUAAAUCCGGAAAAAUAGUUUCAUUUCCUAUGUGUAACAAUCGCGAAAACCUAAGAACUCGAUAUGGUUUAAAACCAGUUUAGCAGAAGUUUGUAAUUCAAGAGUAAUAUACGUUAUACGAUAUCUUGCAUGUUUUUUUAAAGCAGAGGAUCAACUACGGGUCCUAAGUAUAAAUGUAUACUACGCCGUCCACUACCUAAAACGAGGCUAAGUGACAAAUGGUCAAAUAUCCGUUUUAAAUAGCAAAAGAUAGAGCAAAAAAUUAUCUUUUAAAAACAGUAAUUAGUUAACGUGUUCCACUUAUCGGAACUUACCCUAACGAUGCAUAGCUGAUAUAUCAUUAAACAAUUUCAAUAUUUUAAAACUGGGUUAUGGUUUUUUAUAUCUCUAAAAAUUAUUUUGUCGCGUUUUAUUUAGCGGGCGGCAGUAUAGUACUUAUAUAAAAUAAUAAUAAUGUCGUAAAUAAUCGCUAGUACGAGGUCGACGCGCUUGCAAAUCAAAUUGAUAUCGAUAUGUUAUUUCUCGGGGCAACAGAUAGUUUUAUAUCAAUGAUGCAGUCGGUAGCACGUGCAGCAUCAGCCUUGUUUUGGUAUGCUUCAAGUGUUGUUCAGUAUUUUAACAGCUAACUACAUUAAAUAAAAAGACUACUAAAAAGAACAGGCUAUAGUGACCUUUAGCUGCUGUGAAUUAUUUUCGAUCAUGAGACUAUUUUCAGUUUUAAUCAAAAAUAUACCUUAUAUUCAUUGAUUUGUUUCAGGGGAUCGAGAGUAGACCCCCAGUUACGUUGAUCGUUUAGAUGAUAGUUUAGAUGAUAUUGAUAUAUUUGGUGACUGUAUUAAUAAUCAAAAUAUUUUUUUAAACGGGCAACAUUUAACAUUUGUACAGUACCGAUAAGAUCAUGUUCUAACGAUACAUACAUACACUUCACGCCCUUUUCCCAUCGAGGUUGACAUAGACUAAUUAAUAUUAUCUUUAAUAUUAAUAUAAUUAUUACUAUGCUAUAACAUUGUUUGUAACAAUAGUCAUUUAAAACGAUCAACUAGCUAAUGCUUAACCUAAGACUUGUAGAAUACACACUGUACAUGAUUACCAUAGUAAAUAAACAAUUUUAUAUUUAAUUAUAAUGUUAAAAUAUGAAUACUAUAAUUAAAUAAGUUUAAUCUCAAAUAAGUUUGUCAUAUCAAAUAAUCUUUUCCUUUUAUUCAAACAAGGCUUAUUAUAACAUUUGUUAUUAAUUUUAUGUCAAUCAGAGCAUCCAUCCAUUUACAAAGCUUGUGGAAUCUUAGAUUGGUACUCAAAAAUUAAGGCAUCGACCGAACAAAAAAGAAUCCAAAGCUGUCGCGUGUUAACAUAGAUUGGCUUUUGAUGCGUUGAAGAUAUUUGCCUCCACCUAUGCGUAAGGUAUUGAUUUCGGCGAUUAUGAAAGUCUUCUCGUAAUUAACUGGGUAUUCAAUACUGUAAUAUUAUGUUGUCGAGUAGUAAAUCAUCUAUGCCCAAACAUUGUUGAAGUCACAAUAAAAAAAUAAGAGGUAUUGGAAAUUCAAAUAGAUUGUCGUGAGUGUUGUGAGUGUAGAAUAUCAUGGGGUUAAAAAGCCAAAUUACGGAAAAUUUUCAUAAAUAAUUCUAGUACUAAUGGUCUAGUGGGGCAAAUAAAUUUUAAACUGCCGCAAAUACACGAUCAUCGCGUUUGAACCAUCUUCCUAAAACCCUUCAUUUCAUUGCAUUAUUGUGCUAUAAAUCACAGAUUUGUACAUUACUAUUUACGUGGAAUCAUGUGGAAAUGUAACUCCACAAAAUCCAAAAAUAUUAUGUUGUCUGUUUAUAUCUUGUAUGCACUAUUGAGCUCGGCACAAUUUUUCAAAUUAAUAUGAUUUAUAAGUUGAUGUAAACCACAUUGCUUAGCGUUAACACUUCACAAAUUGCUCACGUCUCUUGGCCAAAUUUUUAAAUAAUUGAAUUUUAAUGUACUCUCGCCAUUAUGCGGAAUUUUUAUAUAACUAAUUUCGUAUUUUACUUUACGACGAUUAAUUUAAUGCGCC